UAAGCAGAUAUGUACUAAUAGUCAUCUUAAUGUUCUGUCUGAAUACUGCUAAACUUAAUGAUAAGCAGACUCCUAAAUUAGGUGGAUGUCUUUUAAUCUCUUUAGGCAAAAAUGUUCCGCUCAGUAUAAAUAAUUAAACGCCCAAACAGGGAUUUCAGUCUAACUAUUCUGCCUCCCAAGCAAGUGUCUUCCCAAGCUAAUCUCACUUCCUUUUUGUGCGACCCAAUAGCAUUUAAUUAUUUAUGCCAAGCGGAACAGCGUAGCUAGGAAAGAUUGCAAUAGCGUGCCUGUCUGCCGGCACUCUACAGUUCACGAGUUCCUGUGAGCCCCCCGGGGUGGAAAGUCUAUAGGAUCCCAUUCCUGCUUCUGUGCAUGGGAAGGGGGCUGCUUUGGCAACAGGACUCACAUUGAUGUCAGUAAAUGCAGUUGCAGUAUCUGACCUACGUUAGCUGAUAAGCCAAGGUGGUGACACAAAGGGAGAGGCUGCACUGCAAGAAGCAUCUUGCAACACAAUGCUCAGGACACUUUCAGAUCAAGAUCAAAGGUCUCACAAGACUGGAACCACUGGAGAGCAGGGUUGUGUCGGUCACUGCGUCAGCUGCAUGGGACUAUGAACAAAGAAAGAGGCAACAGUACUGCAAAUAUCUGAGAUACAGUAAGUCUUGAGAAGCACGUUGGCAGGGCCUGUCUUUUUUUUUGUUUGUCUGUUUGCAUUUGCACAGUGUAGAUGUGCAGUACAAGGAGCUACAGUGCUGGAACUCAGGCACUGAUAUGUUGCAGGCUCCCUGGAUGUGCAUUCAGUGAGCUUGUGGGGAGGCAGGAGCAAAACAGGCUUGGGAGGUUGGUUUGGCAAGUGAGAUGGAGUUGGUUUUAUGGAGAAGUAAUGUGUGGGUUAGAGAAGUGUGGAGUUAGCAGGCAGGACUGGAGUCACAGGUUGGGAAGAUCUUUAGAUCUGAAAGGAAAACAUAACAAGUUUUGAGAAUGUUUAUUAGUAUUUUGAAAGAUGGCCACUACAUUGUUAUGGAAGAAUUUUAGUAGAACUUAAGGAAUAGGUUUUACUUCCAUACACAGACACUUCCAGCUUUUGGAUUAUACCUUCUCAUAGUGCAUGAGGUGAAAGACCUAAUACAAACAUCCUAAUGCAUGGAAAAAAGAUAAAGCUUCUUUAGACUGUCUUUGCUUCAUCAAGAAAACAGGCUGUGAUGUUGGCACCUAGAGAAACUGCAAAAUCACCAUGAAAGGGAAGAAUGCUGUGUGAAUUCCCGAAAGUGAAUUUCCAGAGCUCUGAAACCAGAAUUGCAAUAAAGUUACAAAACCUUAGCAGCAAAGGUACCCCAGCAACCCAAGAGGUGCAUCCCAUCUAGACACUUUUGUUACCGGAGCUCAAAUCAACUUGUAUAAAGAUAUUCCAGCUUUAUUGUAGAACUGUUCCUGGGAGGCAAAGCUCUUGUCUUUUAUUGCUCAUCUCAUGUUGUCAUAAAUGUUUUUGUAACAGCUAACUUGUGCUCUAAUUAGGGAAAAAAAUCUAAGCCUUCAGAGCAGGCUGGUCUCAAAGUACAGACUACAAUGUGUGGAGAUUCACAAGCCCUGCAGGCCAAUAAAUCAGAGCUCACAAACUAGCUUUGUGCUGACAUGAUUUAUCUUCCAGGGCUGACCUGCUUGGAUAUGAUUUUAUAAUGACAGCAGUCAGAGAUGUGAACAGCAGUCUAAAAGAAGCCAUUCACACUGGUGAAUCUAAGACUGAGUGUUUAUUUUACUAUAACCUCAGCACCAAUCUAUGAGGUAGAUCUAAAACGCAUGCAGGUAGAUGAUCAGUUCAGCUGAAUCAAAGACCACAGGUUUGCCAAAAAGGAGUUCUGCCGUUGCCCAUCCCCAGAGGUAUUAGCUCUAGUGGUUAAAUAUUCUUGGCAGAAAAGUCUGACAAAGACAUCAGAUGCUGCAACGACUGAAGAAGUACUACAUGCAUGCCCUGAAGUAGUUCACCACGGAGUUCAUGUCAACACUGACGGUAAGCAUCAAUAAGGAAUAUUGUACAUGUAAUUUUUAGCACAAGUGUGUUCACAGUAUUCAGAAGCUGUUUGGCUGUUUCUACAAUGCAAGAAUCAGUGAUCACUCAAUUUUAAGUGUAACAAAAAUAGUAAACCACCUCCACUAGGGUCAUCACUAUAGAAGUACUUCACAUUGUCUUUUUUGAGGGAAAUGAAAAAAAAAGGUCAAUAACAAAGCAUUUGUUGUUUUCCUUUUUCUGCUUCAAAUUCAUUCUACAAAAUUUUACUUAUAUUGCAGGAAUUUCAUCUGAUACUGAUGGGAACAUGAGCAUCUUGAAAAGCUUAAAAUAAAGGAUGGUUUUAGAAGUGGGGCAUGUAGAAGGGGAUUUUUUUUUUUUUUUCCCAUUACUGAAAGAAGAUCUAAACCACCAGAACAACUGCAGUCUGAAAAUCUGGUGGAUUUUCAGAUCCUUGUUUUCUCUUUUCAGAAACAGAAAGAGAAAUGAAGAAAGAGCUAAAUUCAGAAAAACAUAACUUUGAACCAAAUAUGCAUUACUCUUUAUUUGUGGGCAUGUGAAGGAAUUUAAUCUUAAAAAGAAAGAGGCAGCAAGUCUAAAUGCAUAGGCUCUAAAAACUGUGAUCAUUUUCUUCGUAUUGAGAUGCAGAUGUUUUUACUACGGCAUUCUGUGGGAAUUCUGCAGUCCACAGAGAGAUAAAAGAUUAUCCGUGUCACACAAAAAUGCAUUUCACUGGCAUCCUAGAAGCUCUGUGCUACUUAUAGAAAUGAAUGUCAUAAAUAGGUUUUGAGCAUCAUAUAAGUACAGACUGUCAAAGCAUUCAGAUACAUUUCAGUAGUCUUUGCUCAAGCAUAUUUAGAGACCAAAUUAUUCAUAUAAGGAAAUGCCUGUUAACUGUAGUGUUCCUUACUGUUUCACAUUACAUUCUGGCUACUAUAGAGCAUAUCUAGUAUAGUCUAGCUACUAUACACAAGGAAAUGCUUUGUAAACAGUUUUACAAAUGCUUGAAGUGAUAAAUGUAACCAGUUAAUGAGGUUAUCCUUUAUCUCCACUUCUGCAUCUACUAUAACCUCUAAAGUUCAGCAAGUCAACAUAGAACAAGCAGCCAUGUUAAAGAGCCCUCUUUAAGGACAUGUAAAAUAUUGUUGUGAUUAGUGUUUUGGGAAUAAUUAGGAACAAAAAGAAAACUUUAAAACACAUUUAACUUGUUGUUUGUUUGUUUGUUUGUUUGUUUUUAACACAAUGUUUACAGAAAACUUGUAUUCUCAAAGAUUUAUUUUUCAGAUGUACUUGGUUAAUGUCUAUGUAACCAUUUACUUGUAAUUGGUCACAGAAGUCUAAUUAUACAAUUUCUCUGCACUGACUGAAUGGAAGUUCUAGCUUUUACAGAGCAAAUAUCCACAUGGGCAAACUUCAAAUCCAGCACCUGACCAUUGCCACUUUGUCUCCUGGGGAGUGUGCACUGGAGCUAGAAAGCCUGGAAGAUAAUUGCAAGACAAAGACCGUUUGCACAAAGACAAUUUACAGAAAACAAAGAAAAAUAACUAUAAUAAAUUACCAUCAUAGAAAACCCUGGUUUAUUGUCAAAGCCAACACUCAUAUCUUGUUCCAUAAUGCAGUUGUUAUCAAUUACAUAUGGAUGAGGAGAUGAAGGAAGCCACAAGUGAGGCAAUCAAGUGCAAAAUUUUUUAUGGUCUUCUGAGAAUGUCUAUUGGUUUUUCAGUUUGUUUUAUAAAAGCCUGUGGAACAAUUUUGAGUGACAAAGACUAUCUCGUAAGUUAGGAUUAAUACCAUACAGCAAACACAUACAACAGAAAGUAGAUAACUGGAGCAAAAAAGAUACUCUUCCUCUGAAGUUCUUGGGCCAUAGUGAUUGCUACAAACAUUGGGUAAACAGUAGCCAGAAAUACCCUGAUUACAUGGCAGAACACCCCACUUUCUUUAAAGAUCCUUUACUGACACUAUGCUUUUUGAAUUAGUCAAAAUUUUACGGAAAAGAGAGAUGCACUUGGAAAAAGUCAACUAAAGAAUAGCUGGAGAAUUUAACGUAAUUUUGUGUGCUAUUUUAAAUAAGUACAAUUUUACAAUAGUUAGAUUUCUAUAUGUACAUGUUCUUCUCUCUCCCAGUGGUUGUCUUGCUUACUGCCGAGGCUCCAGUCAUUCACUGGGCUCUAAGAAUAAUGGAUAUAUUUGUGCCUUCCUGAGCACCCAGUGAUUAACAUAUUCUGAUAAAACUAUUUCUGACUUAAAAAAACAACCACAGUCAAAAAUCUGCCUAAGCAUGUCUCAGUGAAAAACUGGAAUAUUAACGUUGCUUUCAGAUAAGAAACAUGGAGAAAAUUUUAGAUUCUAAAAAUAGGUAACCACUGAUAUUUAAAAAACCACAACUGAAUCCAAUCUGUAAAGUGACUUAGCUGUCCAACUUCCAGGGAAAUAACCUGCGUAAACAUCUUAGCAAUUCUCUGUCUUCCCUCUUCCACAUCCUCAAACUUCCAAGGAAUUUGAUAUCCAAAAGUCUUAGAAAAUCCCAGUUGGCUUCUAUCUUGACUUUGGGCUUAAAGAUAUCUCUAAAGUUUCAGCCAUGCCUAUUCCCAUUUGUAUAGCAAAGAGCAGAAUGAGACCUCAGUCACAUGCUCACAGUCAUUCAUUGUUGUGGCAGAAGCAGAAGAGGGGGCAAAAGAAAUACCACUUAUUUAAGGGAGUGGGGCUCAGAUGGUCUCACAGCUGCCUAAUCAACAGCUGCAAUUGCAAGGCAGCUCCAUAUGGGCUGGUACGCAAGGUUCAAGUGGCAAGAAUGGAUCUUGCUCCAGCUGUAUUAUAGCACCAAACAUUUUGAUAUGGGUUCCUCGUUAACAGGUGUCUGAUUAAUGGCACCUAAUUAAAGCAGGGGACAGCAAAAAGAAUGAAGUGGUGGAGGAAUUAGACACCACAGAGUGCCCUGUCACGCUGUUUGCCUUGAAUGUAUGCUAGUUUGGGUGACUAAUAACACAAACCUAGGAAUUAACUCUCCCAGCUGACGCUAUUGUUUCUGGCAGAAAACUUGCCUGUCACAAGGAUUAAUUCAAUCUAUACUGUUAUUUAGUCCACAGCAACAGAUGCUCAUUCAAAUAUCUCAGUAGAAGAAGAUAGCUCCACUCAACUCCAGCACUUGUAUGACACCCUAGAAGGGUCAUUUCAGUAUCAGCUUCUGGUCCUCAUGUCUAGUGCUCUGUUUAGAGGCACUUUAUUCUGUGUACGUGUAUGACAUUUCAGAUAGAUAUUUGGCAAUAACAUCUCAAAGAAAGCAGUACCCCUUCUGGGAAAAUGCAGAAGAUCAUUAUUCAGAUGAGGAAAAUGGAAAGUCAAGGAGAAACAAGCAAUGUGUUCUCCUUCUGCCACGUCUCCCCCGCAAAAGCUGCCUACCCAGCCAUCCUGUCCCUUAAGCGAAGGAAGCGGGACUGCCAGCAGCCAGUUUUUCCACCAUGGUAAAUGUCACUACUGUCCUUUGACCAGAUCCUCAGCUCCCCUCAAUAGCUGGCUGUCAGCCCACCACACACAAAAGGCCCUCUCCAGCCCUCACCUCCUCUAUCAGCCCUAGCAAGGUUUAGCUCAACUGAAAUCCAUGGAACAAUCUCAGUGCAAGUGAGAGGGGAAGGAAUCCUGGUAUUAUCAAACAAGUUAAAAUUAUUCUAAACCUGGCAUUUGGGGAUGCUGCAUUUGGUGCCUCAUCUUCAAAUUCCUCUGCAUGCCUGAAAUGGCUGUGUACAUCCAUGGUUGACAGAUGGGAUUUUUGUGGGCAGCAGUCAGCCUAGCAAGACCAAACUAAUGAGGGAAAUUGCUUGAGGUCAUACACUGAUUCUUUGCUUCUAAUGAAAAUAUUUCCCAGCCCAGCUGCUGGGCUGAAGCUGGGGCACCAGCGAUCUGCCAUGGAUGCUGAGCAGCUCCUAGCACCCCUUGUACAUCGUCCUUGGCUGGGAUGCUUUUUCUGGUGGGAGGAAACUUUGGAGACUGAGAGUCUCCCACUGAGAAGCCAUUGGGAUAGGAAGGGAUAAAACCUCCCACGUGUUUUCCUUGGAGAGGCCCUUGCAGACCCUGCUAUUUAGGGAGAAGGGCUCCCUUCCCCUGGGAGAACCAUCAGUCCACCCAAUAGCCCUACUCUGUCCCUGGGAAAUCUCCUGGGUGCAGGUCCCAUGGAUUACUGCCUGCCAGAUGGGGACAGGGUGGAAGGAUAUUGCAAAAACAAAAACUAGAUUUUUGCUUCUCUCACAGCAGGAAAACUGAAAAAGGUGCACAGAGCAAGAUAGGCGAUUCUAUGUAUGAGAAGUCAACAGUACUAGAAAAGACUGAACAGGCUGGGAUGACUGAGGCUGGAAAGAGUCAAGAGGGGGAUAAUUGAGGUGUAUAAAUCCUAAAUAAUCUGGAGACGGUGGGUAGGGAAUGACCACCCCCUCCUGCCUCAGCACAGCACUAAGGGCACCCUUUGAAAUUAGCAGGCAGCAAGCUUAAAACAAAUAGAGGAAAUACUCUUUCACACAGUGGAAGUUAAACCAUAGAACUUAUUGUUAGCGGAUACUGCCAAGGCCAAAGCCCAACUGGAUCCAAGAAGGUUCAUAGGAGGACUACGUCAGGGAUGUUGAUUAAACCUCACAGCCUGCCUCAGCUCGGCAAGUCCCCAAGGCACUGGCAGCCACAUGCUGCACCAGGAGAGGGGAAGGUUCACCAGAGAAUGACCUGAAUUUGUUACUCCCUUUCCUAAGCAUUUCUGGGAACGCUUAGGGAACUCCUCGUCCUGGGCCAAGGUACAAGCUUCACUGUACCAGAGCUGGAGUACAGGGUCACCUGGGCUGUUGUUCUGACCUGGUUUGGCCAUUCUUUUGCAUUGUCUUCUGAAAUUAACAGAAGCAGGUAAAGAUAUUUGAGAAAACAUCAUACUUGCCAAAAACACCUUUCAGGAGGCUAAAAUUGCUGUGAGUGAUUUAGUCUGAAUUCAGAAAAUAGUAGUGUUAGCAAAGAAAAUGCAUGAAGAAUGGCAAAGUACCAAAAUCACUUGUUUUAGCUUUCUUGAAUGAAAUUAUUUUUUAUGGGAAUAUCAGCAUGAGCUAAAAUCCUGCCCUUAAAAUUAGUUGUAACAAAACAAGCAUUCCAUUAGGUUGAACAUGGUUUGAGUGACAAGCUUGAGGUUUGGUUUUUUUUCAGGUUGUUAAAAUGAAAGAGAGAAGCUAUAGUGAGAGCUCAAAUGAGUGUCAAGCCCAGUGAUUCCUCAAAGAAUAGUGUUUGCACAGCUCCAUUGCAUUUGUGAGCUCCCUUUUUGUUCUGGGAGUUACAGUCAUGUUUAAGCUUCUAACCUUGCCCAAUGUUUCAUGAAUAUCUUUCAUAGGAAUGACGCCUGAUACCAAAAAUGCUGUCACUGGGCAUCCAUUCCAGCACAAUCUGGAGGAACUGCCACAGGUACUCCAUUGCUGGAUCCUCCCCCCAGCACUGCCAUGGACACAGGGACACAGGACAGGAGGGGGCUGGGCUGGCAAGGCUGCACAUCUCCGAUCACCUGCAGGUAGGAGCAGGGCUGGCUGGUGAAGGAGAAACCCAGCAGCCUGGCACAUGCUGAAAUAAAGCCAGCUUCACUCCCAGAAGCAGGGGAUUGCAGAGAUUUCCUGAGCAAGGUGAGGUUGCUGCCUCCUCACCAGCCUCCUGCCUCCACGGGGGAAGACCCCUCCAGGGGAGACUGCACAGAGCUAUGGAGGUCCCUCCCACAGUACUGAAUUUCACAAGCAGAGCUUCCUCAGCUCAUCUGCCAGUGAGACCUUUGAUGAGGACAUUGCUCUUCAUGACAUCUCCGCUGUUGCCCAUAGCAAACACCAGUUGUAUGCAUAUCGCAGGGGAGAGGCCAAGGGAACAAAACUCAUGUUUGUGGAGUGAUGAAGGCUGCCAGAUGGGUUGCCAACCCACCCGGGACCCAGUAUCAUCAGCAGCUGGAUCCAGCUAAUAUCUUCUGAGGGCCUGUAGGUGUACAAUGAGAAUAUUGGCACCUGGGGAGAAAUCCCCACUUUUGCUUUGAAACCAGGGAGAGAUGACUGACCCCUUACCCUUUAGUGUGAAAGAAGGUGAUAAUUCAAUCCUCCAGGCAAAAGAUGGGUGGAAAGCAACACAGGUCAACACCAGAAGAACUCCUGAAGAUAAUCCCAUUACCAAAAUUGGCAGCCAACUCAGAGCUGUCAGAGCAGGAGGAAUCACCAAGGUUUCCAGCCCUAAUCACCAGAUGGCUGAAACAAUGACAUAAUUGAUGGGGGGUGAAUCAUGCUAGUGGUCACAUCCUGAGAAGAAGAACCGGAUGCAACAAGUAUCCUACUGAACUGUAAACUACUCACGACAGCACUCUGGAAGAGUAUUUACAAACACACUGAUGUUCAAAGCUGGACAUAUUAUUUCAGAGGAACUGAGGAAACCAAAAUAAGAAAUUACGUUGACAAGUAGGUUUUUCCAUAACUAUGUCUUUGUUAGGCUUAUAAAGAUGACACCUGUUGGUACCGUCAGUGAUAGGGUAAACUAGUGAAAUGGUGCAACGAUCCAUAUUUACAUCGUCUAGCAAUGUCAUUUCACUGGAAAAAGCCAGAAGAGUCAUAGGUUUAGCUAUCUAAUCACGUGACUGCCUGAGGCAAUAAAUCAGGCCAGCAAUUAACAAAAAGAGCUGUACCGUCUUCACCAUUUGUUAGUCACCAUCAAGGAGAUGAACUUCCUCUGUUUUCUUUCCCCUGGAAACCAGAGUGUAGUGCUGAGUGUUCUGGCUGUCAUCCAGCAGAGCACUCUGACAUGGGUAAUCCAGCCAAAGCCCACAGGACAACUCAGGUGUUUAAUGGUAAAUACAUGCUUAAAGGUGUCACUGGAUUAAGGCCAAAAGGGUUAGCACCUUGCAGCCUGCAGAUCUGUGGAUCCCAAGGACAGUACUGUGAGAUAAUAUGUGGGUGGCAGUUUCACCACCCAUGGGUCACUGGUGGUCCUUGAGAUACAGGGAGGUCAUCUGCAAAUUUCAUCUGCUGUGGCUGUGUUUUGAGCCAUGCUUGGCAUUUUCUAUACACACAGAACGGGAAUGGAAACAAAAGAAAACCAAAGAAGUUUGACCUGGUUUUGUUUGUUUGUAAAUAAGAAGCAUGCGGCAACACAGUGUUAAAUGAUUGGAAUUUUCUCAGUAAGGGGGAGGUUUGUCCUUGGAUUACAUUUUUUUCAGGCAUUGCUGUUAUUACAAGUAAUUAAAAAUCAAACUGUAAAUAAUUUCCUGUUGACUGACUAAUCACGUACUGGUCAAAUCUCUGGAGGAUAUAGCUGUUCCUGUAAAAGAAGGAAGGAAGCCUUCCUGGAAUGUAAAAGCAGGUGAAAAAAAAACAGAAUUAUUCCUUCUGCUCCUGGAAUAGUAACCAAAAUUAGUCUAUGACCUUUCCAGAGUGAUGGGUGUAAUUAAGGAAAUCAAAGCUUCUGCUAUACCUCCAAGGCAGAAAAAAAAAGUGUUUUGAUCACACUUUCUUCUUUUUAUAAACCAUAAAAGCCAGGAUGUUCAGUGUUUAGACUGAUGAUCCCUCUGCAAAAAGAGAAAUGCACUACUGUACAUAAAAAGGACUACGGGGCAAAAAAACGCUGAAUGAAAUAUCAGAUCCAAUAUAACUUGGUGAUGUCUUAGCUUUUGUAGUAUUCAAAUAUAGAGGUUAUUUUCACCACCUCCACUGGCUCAUGAAUUCCCUCAGGGAUUGUGAUUUGAGCUUCAAACAGGGAAAAAGAAAAAAAUUCUUUUUUUAUCAUGGAAGCUGAUAAAAUGGGCAGAGACAAGAAAAGCUCCUUUUGUUCUGAUCUUUCAGGCCUCAAAACACAUUUCAACUGAUGCAAAUAUCUACUUAAACCUCUUACAAAGCAACGGUAUACAUUAUAUUUACCUUCUUAAAAAAGGCAUAUUGAUUUUAAUACUAGAUGUACUAUUUUUCUUUCUGAUAUAGAUUUUUUGUUUGUUUGUUUUUAUUUAGAGAAUGUCUGUUAUUUCUGUCCUCUGUUACAUGUUAUUUAUUGAGGCUUAAGCUGCUACGGUCUCUUACAUAAACCCUUCUUUGCACAUGGCUUAUUGAUCCGAUAAUCCAUAAUAACAUUGUCUAUUCUGUCAUCCAGCUGUCAGGCAUAAACACUAAAAAUAUUCAUGCUCAAAUUUGUUGUGAGAUUAUACUGAAGAAAAAAAACAAAACAAUUAACAUGGUCAAUGAAUGACAUUUCUAAAUAAAUAUUGUGAGAUUUCUCUCAAAAAAAAUGCCUAAAGACAGUGCACUAUAUUAUUGGAUUUACAGUCUCUUAAAUUUCAGUUUUAAAAAUGAAACAAUUUUUCAGUCAUGCAGACAUCCUUAAAUAUUAAGCUUAUUUUUAUUUUGUACUUGCAACAGCAUUUCAAAUUAUUUUCUUUUUACACUUUUGAGGAAAGCACUUCUUUGGCUCAGUUUACUUUGUAAUGCUCAACCAAAACUGUAUAGUGGGACAGGCAGACUAAACAGGAGAGUUUUAGAAGGAGUUCAGGUUCUGCACGUGACGCUUAAUCUCUGCCAUGGCCAAGAGAUACAAGCCUGGAUUUAUAGCAUGCUAUGUUUUGGGGCUAGCUGGUGAUCCCACCACCUGCCCAACACCUCUAACCUGUCCACAAGGGCAAAUUUUGCCAUCGGAGGGGAUAUCGCCUGUCAGGGUCUCAUGUUGCCUCUGCAGGGUCACCCGUGGAAGGUUGGGCAUCUCUCUGCUCAAACCCAGGUCCCCUGUGGUUUAAUAGGCAGUUGCAACCUGCACAUCCAGUUUUUAGUUUAGUCCCAAAUCCCUUAUUUUUUUGCUAAUGUGGGCUAGAUGUAAAGUCAGCAUAAAACUGAAUAGAAUUCAGGUUUUGACAGUAAGUCUGUGUAAGAUUUCAGCUUCACAGAGACGUGAAGGUAGCACUAAGUUAUCUCUUAAUGUUGGGUCCAGCUGUGUUGCUGAGAGUACAUGUUCGAGCAGGAGUCAAACACCAUCCAGUGCCACACUCACUCCCCUGCUUCUGGUGCUCUUAGAGUUAAAACACAACCCAUGAGCUCAGGAAAAAAAAUCAAGUCAUCCCAGUGAUGAUGGGCUAGCAGAGAAGCUGUUGUUUACUUGCAUCACAUCCAGGAACUGGAUCAUUUUUGAAAGCCUGAGGCUGCAUCUCCCCUGUGCCUAGGCUUUGCAGCUUCCCUGCUCACCCUGGUAGCUGGGAGGACCUCAGGGGAAGCGCUGCGGGAACAUGAUGACCUCUGUACUGGUGAGUUUGGUUUGUGCCCUGUUGCCCACUGCUGGGCACGGCUCGGGGUACGUGAGCCCCCAGGUGCUGUGCAGCAUCACAAACACCAACCUGGGGGCUCCAGGUAGGGCACAGCUCCUCUGCUCGGCACAGCAGAGCCUUGUGUCAGGGGAAGGGCAAGUGGGGGUUUCUGAGAGUGGCAAUUUCUCCUGUGUUUCAUUCUGGGGAAGCAUGGAUAGCUAAUUUGAAAGGUGCAGUCAAGGCUUUAGCAAACAUCCAGGUAAAGUCCCAGUAGUACAUAAAACUGAAGUGGCUACACAAGUCCGCAUGAAACACGUUCAAAUUUAGAAAACUUACGUAUCCCAGCCUUAUCUGUAGCAACAUGUGGCUCUUGAUAAUGACUGGUUUACUCAUGUUAUUUUUUAUUGGCAUAGCUGUUCCAGUAAGUGCCUCAUAAAUCAUUUGUGCUCGGCAUAUAUCCCUAAAAUCACUUCUACCCUGGAAAAGAUGCAAAGAAGGUACCAAUUUUUUCCUGCAUGUACAGAGAUAUUUUCUUCUGGCAAAACUGAAUAGCUGGUUAGGUGAGUCUUGCCCCUGGAGGUCAUUUCCCCUGUUCAGAUGCGGUUUCUCCUCACCAGCAUAAUACCUCCAGCACCCAGCGGUUUCCAAACCGGUGGCUGCUGUCCCACCAUCCCUCUGUUCCCACAGUGCAUGUCAGAUCUGGAAUGGGUCAGCACAGGACUGGUGAAGGAUCUUACAGAUGAGACGAAUAAUCUACAAAUGUUUCAGAUUGUUGUUUUCUAGAUAUACUGUGAAGUUCAUUCAUUUUUUUUUUUCAAUAGGGAAGAAUGGUGUCUUCACAGCAAAUGUACAUGCCUGCCCACUUGUACUUCAUUAACUAUUUAGCCUGUCAGUUUCAGCCAUGUUUGAUGGAAUGGACUUUGAUAGGACAAUGAUCUUAAAUAUUUUAAUUUUCUAAAAGUUUCAAGAAAAGGUGUGGAAGAUGGACCCUGUCAGUUCUUGUACUGUGAGAUAAUAAAACCAGUUUGUAUUAAAUGGCAGACAAUUCGUACAGGAGAGCUAUCAUGACUGCCAUGAAUGUCAAAAACGCUUCAGUUACAAAUUGCAUUGCAUCAGAUACUUGAGACACAAAACCUUAGGAGACCAAGCAUCAUUGGUCCUGCUGCUCAAGGAUUUGGGCAUUUGGGAAAGGGACACUGGGGAAGAGGCUUACAGAGGGAUGGUCUCUGACUUGGGUUGAUUAUGCCAAGAGAUUUGUUCUACUUGUAGCAGAUGAGGCAGAGGCAGUUAAUUUACCACUUCAAUACACUAUUCCGGUGAGUGAGAAAAUUAAUACUUGUAAAGAAUAUAAGUGGUUUUGGUGGAGACUUCUAUACAUCAACAUAAAUACUGCCAAGGUUUUAAAAUCUAAAAUACAUGCAUAUUAGAGACACGCCCUAUUCCCACUUCUCAUUCAUAACCUCUAUGUAUUCCCCUUAGACGUGUGACCAUGUUUUCUCUGCCAAAUUCUUCCUUGUACUUGUGGAUCAAUUAGUAUUAUUUCUAUACUGUCCCCAUCCAUAUUCUUUCAUUAAAAAAAAUCACAGAGGAUGAAAUAAAUCACAUAAAGCCCUCAUUCACCAUGGCUAUAUCAAGACAGUUGUGUUGCUAUGGAAACAUCUGUGUGAAGAGACUAUGAUGCUCUUGAAGAUUAGCAUUCUAUCCCAGAUUUCCAAUUAUAUCAUCAGGCUGGAUUUGCAGUGGUGUAAACUGGCAUAACCGCAAGGAAACCAUGUUUUUUAUAACAGGUAAAGAUCUGAACUGGUAAUUAUUUGUGAAAAAAAAACUAAUAAUUUUCAUUAUGGGGAAGCUGAAUCCAAACCUCCUCCUACCCCAUGCAUAUUUGAAAGGGUGGGUUAAAUUCUCCUUGAAUUACCCUGAAAUAAUUCUUGUUUCCUAAUGUGACCUAGGAUUCAAAGGAGCAGCUGGGAAGCACACAAUCUCUGACUUAGUUUGAGUUUAACUGGGUAGGAUAAUAAAUGUGGUGCUGUGGAAGGGGUACAGCUGUCAGCAGAACUACACUGGGGCAUGGGUACCUGCACAGGUUGUCCACAUCUAUGCCCGUGAAUGCUCAAACCUCACCAUGCUCAGCCAAACCUGUCACCUCUACACUGUGUUUCUGGGCACGUUUCCACAUACAGCAGCUCUUCUUCCACUUGUAAACUGGGCCCCCAAAUCAGCACAGCCCCUGCGCUUUGCAGAGGAGCAUUUUCCAUGCCAUUGUUCACCGUGGUCAGUGUCCCCUCAGCCUUCUUAAAAGCACUCCAGACAUGACUGUAUCAUUUUCAAGAAAGGAUGGCCUCCUCUUUGCUGCAUUUUGAAAAACUGCACAGCCUUCAUGGAAACAAAGUUCCCUCAACAUCGCAAAUUAAAAACAAUUCAUAUGUAGAAAAAAAAUCAAGGAUAUAAAUUAAAUUGAAAAAUGUGGUAGAACCAUCAAAAGGUUUAAAGUAAAAUGUAAACAGUAAGAGGUGGGGCACAAGGAUUAGUUUUGAUCACAUAUAUGAACAUUCUGGUGUUGUUAAUAAAGCAGCAUACUAGUGACAUCACCAGGAACAAAGCCCUUCAAAACAGAUGAAAAUACACUACUCAUAUGAAGCAUGCAAUCAGUUCCUGUUUAGGAAUGGUUUAGCUAUGUUAUUUAAAAUCAUCACUAAAACCCAUACUGAUACAUUCCAAGGACAUAGCUCAGUAUUUUCCAAGUUGAGAUCCCAAAGCAAGGAACUUGAAGCAGAAGUGCUCCGUCUUCAGUCUCCUGGCCCCAUCCAUCCUCUUUCCCAUAUACCCCAGAGCCCAGGCCAUGGGGCAGCUAGAGAGGUGGCUGUGGGUUGGACCAGGCACCAGGCUGGAGGACCAGUCCCUGAGUCUGCUUAGCAGUCAACCCAUCCUUGUUAUGUGGGCAAGAGAUUGCUCUGGGGAAGACUGGUUGGCUUGGCAGAUGCAGCAAUAUGGUGAGUUUUGUGCAAAAUGAAUGUAUACUUUCAGGUCUUUUGAAAUAUCAUCCAAUAUUAUGUAUAUACUUAAAUAUAGUUGUAGUUAUAUAGCACCAUGAUCUGAGUUUGGGUACACUGAUCACAGAAUCACAGGAUGGUUGGGGUUGGAAAGGACCUCUGAAGAUCAUCUAAUCCAACCCACCUGCUAGAGAAGGUUCACUCAGAGCAGAUUGCACAGGAAUGUGUCCAGGUGGGUUUGAAUGUCUCCAGAGAAGGAAAAUCCACAACCUCUCUGGGCAGCCUGUUCUAGGACUCUGGCACACUCAAGGUAAAAAAGUUUUUCCUCAUAUUCAGAUGGAACCUCCUGUGAUUCAGUCUGUGCCCGUUGCCCCUCAUCCUAUCGUUGGGCACGACUGAAAAGAGUCUGGUUCCCAUCCUCUUGACACCCACCCUUGAGAUAUUUAUAAACAUUGAUGACAUCUCCUCUCAGCCUUCUCUGCUCCAGGCUGAACAGAUUCAGCUCUCUUGGUCUCUCCUCAUAAGAAAGGUGCUCCACGCCCCUAAUCAUCUUCACAGCCUGUUGUUGUGUGAUUCCAUACUAUACAGCACCCUAGCUUCUCUGUGCCUAGCGAGUCCUGCUAAAAUCAGUGACUCAGGUCUGCAGAGAGAGUCUGAAGAUUAACUCAAAUGCAAUAAUUGCAGGGUGACUCCACCUACAUCUAUGAGUAAAACAGCCAGUCCUGAAAAGCUUAAUACACAGAUCUCCUUCAGAAGGCAAUGGUAGUUAGGGGACACCAAAUAUGGCUGAUUCCAAUGGUGUCAUUUGUAAGAAAUAACCUUUUUAGCAAUUAAACUUGAAAUAUUGCUAGUUUUAAAUCAAAGGAAUUUGUUUUCCUCUUCUGCUUAGUUGACAAAACACACUUCUGCUAUACCUUGCUGCAAAUUAUGUCCAGAUUAAGUGUAUGCCAUUAUUUGGAAAAUAUUUCUCUCAAAAAGAGAACAAGGAGUGGGAGAGUAAGGAAGAAUAAGCAGAAAUUGAAAAUAAGGAGAGAAACUACGACUCUGCCUUGUUCUGCUGCAUUAGGAAAAAAAAAAAAAAAAAAGUGACACAGGAGUUUAUUUUCUUGUGAACUGUGUUGCAAGUCAUUUGUUAACUCGUCGGAUAAAGGAGGUGAUCACAGUGAUACACUCUCUGUGUCAUCUGGCCUGGACAGCGACUGGUAGGAACAGGAAGGAGACAAAAUAUUUAUUUGCAAGCCAAAGUGAAUGUGGUGCCAAUGCUAUUAUUUUAUAAUUGAAGUAGCACACAUGGGGAAAGCUAAGCUCCUGCCAAAUUCUAUAGACCCCUUUGCUUUCUGUAUAGAUUUCUUCUCUGCCUGCACACCAAAUGGUUUCCGACAGUGCUGACAUUGUGGUGAAUCUCACCACAGAUGUGUAAUUUCUCCAUCGGACUGGUGACCUUGUAGGAACAGUGGAUACUAGCAGCAGAUGCCAAAAGGUUAUGGGAAGAGUGUUUCGCAUUUUACUUGCUUGAUUUAUUUCCAACAGUAGCAGUAGAGUUAAUUCUCCUCUCCAUUGUAAUACUGUAAAUUCAAUUGCAAUUGCUUUUAUUAAUAGUGUAAAUAAGGUAACUAAUUUUCCUCAUGGCCCUGGUCUUCAGUUAAAAUUUACAUAAAUUAACCCUUGUGUUUGGGAAGAGUACCCUUCAGUGAGUGUAUGAAAAAGUAUCUGUUUUUUCUUGUGAGGAAUUGACUGUAGUACUGGGAUAGACUGUAUUUUGCAUAAUGUCAUUCCCAUUCAGCCUGAGAUUCAGAUACUAAAUGGAAUAUUUGCAGGUUCUUAAGGUGCCUGAUGAAUUAAAUAGGCAUUCAUUAAAUGUCCAAAAUUUAAAUUUAAUCAAAUAUGUAUUGUGUCCACAUAAGACAUUUACAUUACUCAAGGGCAAUUAAGGUAAUGAUAAUGGAAACUGGAUAGUCUACUACUUUUACUAGCCUUACUUUAGUUUUGAAUCAAUGUUAUUCUUACCAAAUAUGUCAUCUUAUUCCCAACAUUUCAACUGCAUAUUUGAAGGAAACAAGUAAUUCCCUUUUGUCUUUGGAAUGCACAAAAAAAGACAUUAACAAAAAGUUAAAAGGGCUAGGAAAAGUUAUUUUCAUGCUGACUUUUCUGUGUUGUCGACUGCAUUAGGAUGAUCCCUCCUUCUCACUGACACUGUUGGAUGAACUCUUUGCAAAAGGGCAUUUCUGUUUCAAUAGCAACUGAGUGAUAUGGCCAAGCAUGACAGUUUACUCCCUGCCAAGUUUGUGUUUUCAGCUCAGUGGAGAAAAAGAAAAUCCUUUAUUUUCAACUAAGGUUCUCAAAAUAUUUGUUGUUUCCAAAAUUCAGCCAGCAUGAUCCAUGUUAAAGCCAUAUACAAACUAAAAGACAUGUGAAAUCAACCACCUGCAAAAUUUUCACCAAAACUGCAAAUGGGGAAAACACUUGCCUGAUAAGUGCUGGCAUGGAGCAGCUGCUAGAGUGCUCCCUUCUCUCUGAUGAUAGCACAUUUUACUAUUCCUGUCAACCACAGAGUAAUCUCAAUGGCACCUUGAAAAAACUAUAAUAACUCUUUAAAAAUUAGUGGUAAAAAUAACCCAUUAAAAAAAAAAAUAGUUACUAUUGCUGGAAAGGGUUGACUUGUUUUCCUUCUAAAAUUAUUUUUAAAGUAAUUAAUAGUCUAGGGAUUUAAAAGGAAAUUAAAAUAGAGUUACAUGUGCUCACAGUAUGAUAUAUCUUGCCAUCUCAAAGGUUCCCAAGCAGCUGGUCCACAGAGACUUGACAGGUCACAUAGUUCUAACGCUUCCCUCUGUCUCCUACUGGUAAAUCGCAUUUGUAAUAGCUAAAAAUACACAUCUUUCUUUCCUGGUAUAGUUUUCCCAUGUAAAUGGACUUGCUGUCAUUAUCCCAGGACUUGACGAGGUUCUGCAGGGUUUUGAGUGGGUGGGAGGACAGAAGAUGUAAUUGCUAACUAGAAGAGACAUAGUUUCUGAAUGGAUGGGGAGGAUUUCCCUGAGAUGAAGUUCCUGUUCAUCUGGAAAAUAACCAAGAACCCUGUGACUAAAUAGUACUCAAAGUGUUUUCAGGCACCUCUGUGAAAGGAAACCUGGUGAUCUGGCCAGGGAGUUGGUCUAGGCCUGUCCUCUGGGGAGGCAAGAAAGGGCUGAGGUGUCUUAUGCCUGGUGCAUUUCAUGUAUACAUCAGGCAAUCACUGGUUAAAAAAUUGAAGCAAGCCAGAGAAUUAGGAGGCUUUACAGAGCACCUCAGGAGUGCCAUUCCCUGCAAGGGAUAUUUAAACUGUCUGUUCCAAUCAGCUCUUCUUUGUUUUAAAAUAUUUUUAGGAUAUAAAUAUCUUGUUCCAAUAAAACACGAGUGACUUUAAAAGAUUCUUCCAGUGACACACACUAUUUUUAGCACACAAUUUUGCUUUAACUUUUUAUUGUUUGUAAUGACCUUAGACUUUCCAAGCACACUCCAGGCCUUUGGCAAAAUUGUUUGCAUGCACAGAAAUUUCUAUAAGAAUAAUGUCUGUUUCUCUUCAUGAAGAUUUAGUGCUGUCCUUUGCAGACUGUUGCUGGGGAAACAGUGACUCUUAGUCAUAUUUCACAUGAUGCCUAGAAUUAAUCUGUUAGCAAUUCAGACUGGAUGGCUCUUUCACUUGGUGCAUCUGUUAACAAAGUUCUUCAGCUAGAUAAUUUAUGUACAUGUGUGUUUUGAACAAAACACGAUCAUGCAUUAAACCUCACUAACAAUUAUUUUCCUUGAAAGUGAAUUUUCAUUUAACGUGCCCAAAAAGAGCUACAUUAGGUCAGUACCUGAGACAGUGGUUUAAAUAGAUUUAAUAUCACUUUACCUAAGUUAAUUUAUACUAAAAUAUCUAGAUUUGUAAAGAAUGUUCCCUCUCAGGAGUUGGAUUGACUGCACUUUGAAACAUUUCUUAUUUUAUUACCUAAGCAACAUGUGCAGAGAGAAAAAAAAAAAAUGUAAUAGCUUACUGCUAAGGAUGGAGUCGAUAGAGAUGGUGUGAACAUGAAAAUGAAGUUGCAUCUAUGCAUUCAGUGAAGGAAAGUACCUAGCAUUCAUGUGAACUAGAAACUGGCAAUCAAGAAAAAGUCAAUCUGUGUGAAGUCAUCAUCAUCACACUGAAACUGGCUGUUGAUUGUUUUGCUUCAGAUCUGGAUUGUACAGAUUCAUAGCUGAAGAGACACCACAUACUUUAAUCAUUAAGAUAAAUGGAUUAAGAUUCAUUGGGUUUGAGCUCAUCUAAGAAAAGUACACACCAGUUAACUGGGCCUCUAAAUCUAACCUGCAGUUUUAGUCAAAAUAUUAGAAACAUCAGUGUCAGGGAACAUUAUAUUCCCCUGAGAAAAUGGUGAGCUACCGUUAUUAUGUGAGUCAAAAUAGGAAAUAGCAAGGCAAUAGUUUCCAGCAAAUGGGGGCAACAGCCCUCAUUUUGGAGGGUAGUGAUAUAUGAGUUGUCUGUGUCUUAGAACUCACAUCUAAGGGCUAGGAAGAGAGAAGAAAAAACAAUUCUGAAAAAUAAAUCCAUUGAGCUGGAGAACCGCAUAAAAAUGCAGUUUCGCUUUCAGAGAACCAAAUGAAGAUGACCUCAGUAGACUUGAACUUUCUGGUCGCACAAACACAGGUGAAAUAACCUGUUCUUUCCACCAUGUGACUUCACUCACUAAACUACUUUCAGCAGAAGUUGCUCCUAUCAAGUAACGCAAGAAAACUUUUGCAAAGGUUUACAGACCAUAGACAACACCAGCUUGAAGAAGUCAUUCACUAUCAAAGUGAGACAUCCACUCUCCCACUCAGGCACUUCACAAAAAAUUAAGUACUCUUCUGAAUACGGACAGUUAGCAGAACAAAUUGCAUUAGACUUUCAUCUCCUCUAGAUAGUUUUCAUUAUUAAACAAAGACUCAUUAACCUCUUACUACAAGCACAGUGCCAAUCACUUGUGCCAAGAAACUGGAUUAAGGACACUUAUGAACUUCUUGGUUUGCACUCAAUGUUUUUCAGUGCUCUCCAAGUAAGUGCAGUCAGAAGUAAAAAAAAAAAAAAAUUUACAGCUCACCCAAAGACAAAGAUUUUUCUACAACACUACCAUUUUUGUAGGUGUUAUUUUUAAAAUAUUCUAAAAAUAAGCCAGUUCAGCCUAGGAGCAGACUACUCAUUUUAGUUCCUUUCUAGAUACCAUACACUUUUUCAAAUUUGAGAAUUUUUUGUCAGUCCAGAAGGUAAUUCAAGCUGGUUUGGAAACAGGUAUAUGAAGAUGAUCUGACUCUACAGUUAAAAGCUCAAAAUGCAGAAUUUGACCAUAUAUAGCCCAGCACUACAAAUGUUAGAUUUUUUUUUAUACUGGCAACUUGCAGCUAAAUAUGCAGAUGUAAGCGUUAACGAAGCCUACAGAAACCAGUGCAAGUUUUUUCCACUGGACAUGUUCCUAAGGCUUUGAAGAAUUUAGAGUGUAAAUAGAAUCAGAUAAAAGGAUAUGGAUGCUGCAUUCACCAGGCAGCAGAUUACAAAACAGCAUCAGCAUUUGCCCUUUGCAAAGGUUAAAUUAUGUUCCUAUCUCAAGUAUGAUUAUUGCCUAUUCAUGCUCCCAUGAGGACUAUCCAUUUACAGAUUUUGGGUGAAAAUGGCAACAGGACCAGAAUUUUGUGGGAAAGUUUUUUUUUUUUGCUCAUGGUAUGCUAGAACUUCAGAGCAAACAUUAUUAGAAACAAAUAUCUCAGAAGGCUGUUAAGGAGUCAUAUGUCAUGAGCAGUCCUGGAACAAAGCUGAAUGCUCCAUCCAAUAAUAAAGCCAUUUAAAAUUAAAAUGGAAGUGAUACAUUUUUAUUAAGUCUCCAGCUUUCAUGAAACUUGACCUUACUUGGCCCCAUUGCAAAGACAAUGCUCAAAAGAGCUUAAGUGGCACAAAUCUUCUAAAGGCAAUGAAUCCCUUCAUGUAAUUUUUUUUCUUAACCUACUGCAAAAGCAGAUGAAACAAACUUCAGAGGAAGUUUUGGAAUAUCUGGGGAGGGAGUCCUCCUAUCUCAUAUCAGACAUCUACCACGUGGAUAUAUGAAUUAGUCACCCUAAACUCUGUCCAUAGUCAGAGGCAAAUAAGGAGCUCUCCCUCUAAUUUCUCUUGAGCAAGUGCUAUAGGAUAGGUUGAGUAUCACUAUGGAAUUAUCUCUUUCACUCCAUUGAUCUGCGAAGACAACAGAGGCACCUGGCUCCUCCGUAGACACCUAGACUGCAAGAUGAUCAUAUUGUGUCAGAUUAAUCCCAAACCAGGCUGUUACAUUCUUCCAUUAACAACUUUGAGACCUCAACUCUUUCUUGACCUCACAGAAGAAUCACUUCACUGGUGAUUCAAAACAAAUUAAUUUCCCUAUGAAGUCCAGUUGGUCAGAUAGUGUGACUUAGCAAAGCCUUUACAGAUUAAAAAGAAUCCCAUCCACCUGUUUUUAUGGGCCACUACUCCUUUUUUAUAGCUUCAACUAUGCUGAGAAUUUCUUGUGAAAACAUGAGUAAAAAUAAAGGAAGGGGACGUGUGGAUGCAGAUAAACAUGGGCUUGUAAACUCUGGAGAACCAAGGAGAAGGAGAUGCAAGUCAGGCAUCAUACUGCAAGUGUGAACUACCUGCCAGAAAUACCCUGAAUUCUCAUUCACCAUAAAUGCUCUUACAUAUCAGGAAUGUGUGGCAGAUUCCCUGAACUUUAUAUACUAUACUGUCACUGGAAAUAAAUAACAUUGGAUUAUUCUAAAUUACUCCCAUAAUCCCUUUCCAGGGAUUCAGGGUAGGAAUCUCACAGCAUACAGUGGACAUCGAAAAAGAGGAAACAGAAUAAAGAUUUCCAGGAACAGCCAUUUAUUUGCUUAUACGAAACAUGACUGGAGCAAGCAUAACUGAAUGCAAGAAAUCACAUGUGGAUAGAAACCUGGGAGCAUCUGGAAAAAAAAAAAAGGCACAAGGAAAGAUAAAGCCAUAUUUUGGCAAUCAACCUUUGCAUUGCAGAGACUUUCUUUAAGUUUGCUUGCAAAAGGAAAAAGCAGUAGUAUCAUGCAGUCAAAGCAAUAUGUUCAGAUAUCCAGUUUUACCUGUUAUUUGAUACAGUUUCAAAUUUCUUUUCCUGAUUGUUUUAUGCUGUUGCAGCAGACUACUACAUAUAUUCUCACUAUAGAAGUGUGGUAACUGAGCAUUUUAAAAAAUUACUCUAUGUUGCCUUUAUGCACCUAUAUUUUAAGAGGCAGAGUAAUACUUUUUUUAAUGAUAAAUGAGUACCUCAAAGGCAUAUGAGAGGAGAAUAUCUGUAAUUAACAUUGUCCCUGCAAAAUAAAAUUAACAGUGAACUACAAAGCAAAUCAGAUUGUUCUGGCAUAAUGGAAUAGCUACUGAAUUGUAAAGCCAAAUAAGAGAUAAUUAAAA